CACCAAUCUGGAUCCUGUGAUCCUGUCAUGAGAUUGUCGCAUGUGCACGGCCACUGAAUACACUCCACUAUUGAAACCAUUUUCCACGAAUUUUGUUGCCUCUGUCUACUAGUUAUAUCCACAUUCUGCAACUACUAGAGUGCUAGUUGUCCGGCGGCCAUUGCUUCGCUCGAUUUCUCCUACGCAGUUCUCCAGUGCAGAGCAUUACUCUCAGUUAAUACAUUGUUCAGUGCUUCCUGAGGUGCCCAAUGGAAAUUAUCAUCCUCAUCUCACUUGUUGUGCUUCUUCUACUGGGAGCACUCUUUGUUAUUCCAAGAUCCAUCAGCAAAGGUAAAGGAAAGGAAGCACAUUCAGGAGGAACUGG